AUCUGCUUGAUUUUUCAUUUAGCUCUGUUAGUUAUAGUAACGAGCAUGGUUUUAGUUAUGUUUCUUUUGUGUAGUUUUAAUUAGUGUGUAAGUGAUGCAGGACUUGGCUAAUUGAUGGCAGAGGAUUUGCUAAAAAGGUGAAAAAUGCCACUCUUGCUGAUGCGUUUCAAAUCAAAGAUUGUGGAGCGAGUCGUGAAUGCCCAAAUUGCCGCU
rnacentral:lncRNA from 1 species